UGAUACUAGUAGUUCUUCUGCUAUGCUCAAUACUUCAGGUAUGGGUGAUGGGGACGAAGAGCAGCCAUUUUGUGCAUAGAUAUAGGAUCGGCUGUCGGG